rnacentral:rRNA from 1 species
AUUGAACGCUGGCGGCAGGCCUAACACAUGCAAGUCGAGCGAGCGGCGGACGGGUGAGUAAUGCCUGGGAAUUGCCCAGUCGAGGGGGAUAACAGUUGGAAACGACUGCUAAUACUGCCUAUGAUCGUAUUGCACCGGUGGGAUUAGCUAGUUGGUGAGGUAAUGGCUCACCAAGGCGACGAUCCCUAGCUGGUCUGAGCGGAUGAUCAGCCACACUGGAAAGGAGACACGGUCCAGACUCCUACGGGAGGCAGCAGUGGGGAAUAUUGCACAAUGGGGGAAACCCUGAUGCAGCCAUGCCGCGUGUGUGAAGAAGGCCUUCGGGUUGUAAAGCACUUUCAGCGAGGAGGCGUUACUCGCAGAAGAAGCACCGACUAACUCCGUGCCAGCCGCCGCGGUAAUUC